rnacentral:rRNA from 1 species
UACAGGGGGUGCAAACGUUGCUCGGAAUUAUUGGGCGUAAAGCGCGCGUAGGCGGCCACUUAAGUCGGAUGUGAAAGCCCCUGGCUCAACUGGGGAAGUGCACCCGAAACUGAAUGGCUUGAGUGCGAAAGAGGGUCGCGGAAUUCCCGGUGUAGAGGUGAAAUUCGUAGAUAUCGGGAGGAACACCGGUGGCGAAGGCGGCGACCUGGGUCGACACUGACGCUGAGGCGCGAAAGCAUGGGGAGCGAACAGG